rnacentral:lncRNA from 1 species
CUUGUUUUGCAGGGUCCAUGGUGCACCAUUGUCAGCAUCGGCCCCUUGCUUUGCUUAUGUUGAGCCGCCUGUAACUGACAUAUGUUCUUAUAUGUCUUUCCAUCAGAACCGCAGAGAGCCUCCUGCUUGCCGCACACACAGACAGCUCUGGGUUGACCUGCAAGGUUUCUGCGUGGAGCUCUGCAGCGCAGACCUUCAGCACAGCGGCCAUAGAACGCCAACCCCGACCGGGGCUCCGGGUCACACAGCUGCCCCUCAUCGUUCCCACAUUCCCAGCAACACCCGCACUGAUCACGAACCAAUCCGGCUGGACAGCCCUGCAGCUGCCUGACAUCCGGACAACGUUCGGGGUGGCACUUUUUAGGGCAUCUCUCGCCAGUCUGAAUGCUCUUCUGCCAGUCAAAACGACUGAGGGGCUCCAAAUGGAAGGACUCGGAUUCGGAAACCAGCAUCAGUGCUAGUGGUGGAAGCAGUUGACUUGGAUUUUAUGAAUCACCAAGUGCCACAAAUUCAGCUGAAACAACUUCUUUAAUGAAGCUUCACUACAUUAGUUUGGAAGAUGACAGUCUGAGAGCAUCUGACAGGACUAGAAUCUAUGUAGCACACAAGGUAAGUGAAAUAUUUGAUUUGUUUUACAAGAAGAUAUAUGUUUUGAUAUAAUAUAUAUUACAAAAUCCAUUUGCAGGGAUUUGUUUAAGUUGUAAAACUGUAAAAUGACAAAUGUUUCAACAUUUCAUUCUAUUUUAACAAAAGGUGGAUUGUUUCUUUAAGGGUUUUUCAAAUGUUUAGCCUUUGACUAGCAUAUAAAUGCUAAAUGUCAGCUACAAAACUAACUGACAUACAUUUUCAUUUAUUUAUUU